rnacentral:rRNA from 1 species
UUUUAUGGCCUGAAAUUGGAUGUGACGAUCCGCUGAAUUUAAGCAUAUAACUAAGCGGAAGAAAAGAAAAUAACAAUGAUUCCCCU